CCGGGCGCUCAUACCGCGGGGGCCACACCCGUUCCCAUCCCGAAUACGGUCGUUAAGCCCCGCAGGGCCGAUGGUACUUGGCUGGCAACGGCCUGGGAGAGUAGGUCGGCGCCCGGU
rnacentral:rRNA from 1 species